AUUAACCUAAAGAGUUAUCUCUCUCUCAGAUUGAUAAUUAAAAUGAAGUUAUUCCACAUAACUUAAUAGCAUUGGACACUGCAAUUUUCGUAGUUUACCUCUUCCUCUCCGGCUGCUAUGGUGGUUCUUACUCGCUGUAAAAUCCAAACAAGCUUGGCGGGAAAAGACGCCAUUGAAGAAGGUCUAAGUCAGAGUAAGCUCCGAUCUCAGUUCCUGCUAGUCCUGCAUAGUUUGUACCAACACGCGCAAGGUAUAUAAUAAUAAUAAUAAUCAUAUACUCACUACCUUCAACCAAUUUUCUGCCGAUUAACGUUUCAUUUAAUUAAAUAAUAUAUAAAUAUCUUAAUAUUCUCCGUUAUAUAUGUGUGUGUUUCAUUUUCACUAACUGUUGAACUCGCAAAUCCGGUGACGGAUCCUCUGUAUACAAACUCUCCUCCAACGAGGGAAGAGAUCAGGAUAUUGGCGUUCCAUCCAAAGGCAGAUAUAGAGAACCUUGAAGAGUUGCUACAGGAAGAAGAUUUUGUUUAUGAAUAUGGAGUUAGGAGAACAAAGACGGUUUCCAGUGUUGAUUUCGAAAUUGAAGGAAAGCGAUAUACGGAGAGAAAGGCAUGCAUUUAUUUUUCUUCACAGUUCGUACAGUGACAAAGAAGCGGUGCGUCCAUUGCUUGGUGCGAAAGAUCCCCUGGAAAUUCCAAGUGCAAAGGCAAGCCUGGUAUACAGAAAGUUUCACUGUUUAGAUAAUUUCAAGGUAUGAACCUGUAUUGUUUGGUCACUUCGGUGAGAAAUUUAAACUUGUCACUCUGUGAUCAUCCGUUACCUCUUUAAUAAGAAUGGAUUUAACAGUUGGUUGAAACCUGCAACCUUCCGACGAUUUAAACGAACAAAAAUGAUAGAGGCAAUUUCAAUAAUAAUAAAAAUGACAUGGAGCACUUGAUAGUGGAGAUUUUAGAUUGGAGAGGAUCCAAUAAUUUAAAAUCCAUUGUAAGAAGAUCCAUAUAUUCCGAGUGUAGCCUCUUAAGUUGGAUGUGAUAUUGAGAACUCCAAGGUGUUUGGUUAUGGUAUGCUUGGAAAUAAGUUUUGAAGGGAAAUGCUUGUUUUGACAUGCAGAAGCUGGAAUGAGAUACUAAAUAAAGAGAUUUUAAAUGAAACAAUCAGGUGCCUGUAGAAUUAGAAACCACGUUGCUCUGGCUCAAAUUUCUUGUACCACUUGUAAGGUGGUCAAUUUUUUA